ACGCUGGCGGCAGGCUUACACCUGCAAGUCGAGCGGAGCGAGGGUGCUUGCACCUUAGCUUAGCGGCGGACGGGUGAGUAAUGCUUAGGAAUCUGCCUAUUAGUGGGGGACAACAUUCCGAAAGGAAUGCUAAUACCGCAUACGCCCUACGGGGGAAAGCAGGGGAUCUUCGGACCUUGCGCUAAUAGAUGAGCCUAAGUCGGAUUAGCUAGUUGGUGGGGUAAAGGCCUACCAAGGCGACGAUCUGUAGCGGGUCUGAGAGGAUGAUCCGCCACACUGGGACUGAGACACGGCCCAGACUCCUACGGGAGGCAGCAGUGGGGAAUAUUGGACAAUGGGCGGAAGCCUGAUCCAGCCAUGCCGCGUGUGUGAAGAAGGCCUUUUGGUUGUAAAGCACUUUAAGCGAGGAGGAGGCUACUGGUACUAAUACUACUGGAUAGUGGACGUUACUCGCAGAAUAAGCACCGGCUAACUCUGUGCCAGCAGCCGCGGUAAUACAGAGGGUGCGAGCGUUAAUCGGAUUUACUGGGCGUAAAGCGUGCGUAGGCGGCUGAUUAAGUCGGAUGUGAAAUCCCUGAGCUUUAACUUAGGAAUUGCAUUCGAUACUGGUCAGCUAGAGUAUGGGAGAGGAUGGUAGAAUUCCAGGUGUACGGUGAAAUGCGUAAGA
rnacentral:rRNA from 1 species